GAUGAACGCUGGCGGCGUGCUUAACACAUGCAAGUCGAACGAAGCACUUUAUUUGAUUUCCUUCGGGACUGAUUAUUUUGUGACUGAGUGGCGGACGGGUGAGUAACGCGUGGGUAACCUGCCUUGUACAGGGGGAUAACAGUUGGAAACGGCUGCUAAUACCGCAUAAGCGCACAGCAUCGCAUGAUGCAGUGUGAAAAACUCCGGUGGUAUAAGAAGGACCCGCGUUGGAUUAGCUAGUUGGUGAGGUAACGGCCCACCAAGGCGACGAUCCAUAGCCGACCUGAGAGGGUGACCGGCCACAUUGGGACUGAGACACGGCCCAAACUCCUACGGGAGGCAGCAGUGGGGAAUAUUGCACAAUGGGCGAAAGCCUGAUGCAGCGACGCCGCGUGAGCGAAGAAGUAUUUCGGUAUGUAAAGCUCUAUCAGCAGGGAAGAUAAUGACGGUACCUGACUAAGAAGCACCGGCUAAAUACGUG
rnacentral:rRNA from 1 species